AUUGAACGCUGGCGGCAGGCCUAACACAUGCAAGUCGAGCGGAGCGGCGGACGGGUGAGUAAUGCCUAGGAAUCUGCCUGGUAGUGGGGGAUAACGUCCGGAAACGGGCGCUACUACCGCAUACUAUCAGAUGAGCCUAGGUCGGAUUAGCUAGUUGGUGGGGUAAAGGCCUACCAAGGCGAUGAUCCGUACCUGGUCUGAGAGGAUGACCAGCCACAAUGGAACUGAGAAACGGUCCAGACUCCUAGGGGAGGCAGCAGUUGGGAAUAUUGCACAAUGGGCGCAAGCCGGAGGCAGCCAUGGCGCGUGUAUGAAGAAGGCCGUCGGGUUGUAAAGUACUUUCAGCGGGGAGGCGUUACCCGCAGAAGAAGCACCGGCUAACUCCGUGCCAGCCGCCGCGGUAAUAC
rnacentral:rRNA from 1 species